AGUGAACGCUGGCGGUAGGCCUAACACAUGCAAGUCGAACGGCAGCACAGUAAGAGCUUGCUCUUACGGGUGGCGAGUGGCGGACGGGUGAGGAAUACAUCGGAAUCUACUUUUUCGUGGGGGAUGACGUAGGGAAACUUACGCUAUUACCGCAUACGACCUACGGGUGAGAGCAGGGGAUCUUCGGACCUUGCGCGAUCGAAUGAGCCGAUGUCGGAUUAGCUAGUUGGCGGGGUAAAGGCUCACCAAGGCGACGAUCCGUAGCUGGUCUGAGAGGAUGAUCAGCCACACUGGAACUGAGACACGGUCCAGACUCCUACGGGAGGCAGCAGUGGGGAAUAUUGGACAAUGGGCGCAAGCCUGAUCCAGCCAUGCCGCGUGGGUGAAGAAGGCCUUCGGGUUGUAAAGCCCUUUUGUUGGGGAAGAAAAGCAGCAGGUUAAUACCCCGCUGUUCUGACGGUACCCAAAGAAUAAGCACCGGCUAACUUCGUG
rnacentral:rRNA from 1 species